UACAGAGGGUGCGAGCGUUGUCCGGAAUCACUGGGCGUAAAGGGCGCGUAGGUGGCGACCCAAGUCGAUGGUGAAAGCUCGCCGCUCAACGGCGAGUCGGCCACCGAUACUGGGUUGCUGGAGCACUGUAGAGGCUCAUGGAAUUCCGGGUGUAGCGGUGGAAUGCGUAGAGAGUCCGGAAGAACACCGGUGGCGAAGGCGGUGAGC
rnacentral:rRNA from 1 species